AGAGUUUGAUCCUGGCUCAGGAUGAACGCUGGCGGCGUGCCUAAUACAUGCAAGUCGAGCGAACGGACGAGAAGCUUGCUUCUCUGAUGUUAGCGGCGGACGGGUGAGUAACACGUGGAUAACCUACCUAUAAGACUGGGAUAACUUCGGGAAACCGGAGCUAAUACCGGAUAAUAUUUUGAACCGCAUGGUUCAAAAGUGAAAGACGGUCUUGCUGUCACUUAUAGAUGGAUCCGCGCUGCAUUAGCUAGUUGGUAAGGUAACGGCUUACCAAGGCAACGAUGCAUAGCCGACCUGAGAGGGUGAUCGGCCACACUGGAACUGAGACACGGUCCAGACUCCUACGGGAGGCAGCAGUAGGGAAUCUUCCGCAAUGGGCGAAAGCCUGACGGAGCAACGCCGCGUGAGUGAUGAAGGUCUUCGGAUCGUAAAACUCUGUUAUUAGGGAAGAACAUAUGUGUAAGUAACUGUGCACAUCUUGACGGUACCUAAUCAGAAAGCCACGGCUAACUACGUGCCAGCAGCCGCGGUAAUACGUAGGUGGCAAGCGUUAUCCGGAAUUAUUGGGCGUAAAGCGCGCGUAGGCGGUUUUUUAAGUCUGAUGUGAAAGCCCACGGCUCAACCGUGGAGGGUCAUUGGAAACUGGAAAACUUGAGUGCAGAUGAGGAAAGUGGAAUUCCAUGUGUAGCGGUGAAAUGCGCAGAGAUAUGGAGGAACACCAGUGGCGAAGGCGACUUUCUGGUCUGUAACUGACGCUGAUGUGCGAAAGCGUGGGGAUCAAACAGGAUUAGAUACCCUGGUAGUCCACGCCGUAAACGAUGAGUGCUAAGUGUUAGGGGGUUUCCGCCCCUUAGUGCUGCAGCUAACGCAUUAAGCACUCCGCCUGGGGAGUACGACCGCAAGGUUGAAACUCAAAGGAAUUGACGGGGACCCGCACAAGCGGUGGAGCAUGUGGUUUAAUUCGAAGCAACGCGAAGAACCUUACCAAAUCUUGACAUCCUUUGACAACUCUAGAGAUAGAGCCUUCCCCUUCGGGGGACAAAGUGACAGGUGGUGCAUGGUUGUCGUCAGCUCGUGUCGUGAGAUGUUGGGUUAAGUCCCGCAACGAGCGCAACCCUUAAGCUUAGUUGCCAUCAUUAAGUUGGGCACUCUAAGUUGACUGCCGGUGACAAACCGGAGGAAGGUGGGGAUGACGUCAAAUCAUCAUGCCCCUUAUGAUUUGGGCUACACACGUGCUACAAUGGACAAUACAAAGGGCAGCGAAACCGCGAGGUCAAGCAAAUCCCAUAAAGUUGUUCUCAGUUCGGAUUGUAGUCUGCAACUCGACUACAUGAAGCUGGAAUCGCUAGUAAUCGUAGAUCAGCAUGCUACGGUGAAUACGUUCCCGGGUCUUGUACACACCGCCCGUCACACCACGAGAGUUUGUAACACCCGAAGCCGGUGGAGUAACCUUUUAGGAGCUAGCCGUCGAAGGUGGGACAAAUGAUUGGGGUGAAGUCGUAACAAGGUAGCCGUAUCGGAAGGUGCGGCUGGAUCACCU
rnacentral:rRNA from 1 species